rnacentral:rRNA from 1 species
CAGCAGCCGCGGUAAUACGGAGGGGGCUAGCGUUGUUCGGAAUUACUGGGCGUAAAGCGCACGUAGGCGGCUUGGUAAGUUAGAGGUGAAAGCCCAGGGCUCAACCCUGGAAUUGCCUUUAAGACUGCCGAGCUAGUAGGUGAGAGAGGUAAGUGGAAUUCCGAGUGUAGAGGUGAAGUUCGUAGAUAUUCGGAAGAACACCAGUGGCGAAGGCGGCUUACUGGCUCAUACUGGACGCUGAGGUGCGAAAGCGUGGGGAGCAAACAGGAUUAGAUACCCCGGUAGUCCCUGUCUCUUAUAA